UGUCACUGACAUAAUGUAAAUAAUUUCAGUUCUAUAUUAAUUGACUAAAUCCUCAUCAUUUUAUAUUUCAUGAAUUUGUAGAGAUUUUAAUAGCUGAUGUGUUGUUAAAUUUAUACGUCAAUAUAAAAAUAUGAGAUAUAGAUAUAAAUUACAUUUAGCACUUUAAACCGUUUUUUUGUUAUGCCCCCCUUCGAAGAAGAGGGGGUAUAUUGCUUUGCACAUGUCGGUUGGUCGGUCUGUCGGUCGGUCCGUCCACCAGGUGGUUUCCGGAUGAUAACUCAAGAACGCUUAGGCCUAGGAUCAUGAAACUUCAUAGGUACAUUGAUCAUGACUCGCAGAUGACCCUUAUUGAUUUUGAUGUCACUAGAUCAAAGGUCAAGGUCACUGUGACCCGAAAUAGUAAAAUGGUUUCCGGAUGAUAAUUCAAGAACGCUUCGGCCUAGGAUCAUGAAACUUGAUAGGUAGAUUGAUCAUGACUCGCAGAUGACCCCUAUUGAUUUUGAGGUCACUAGGUCAAAGGUCAAGGUCACGGUGACCCGAAAUAGUAAAAUGGUUUCCGGAUGAUAACUAAAGAAUGCUUAUGCCUAGGAUCAUGAAACUUGAUAGGUAAAUUAAUCAUGACUCGCAGAUGACCCCUAUUGAUUUUCAGGUCACUAGGUCAAAGGUCAAGGUCACGGUGACCCAAAAUAGUAAAAUGGUUUCCGGAUGAUAACUCAAGAACGCUUAUGCCUAGGAUCAUGAAACUUGAUAGGUAGAUUGAUCAUGACUCGCAGAUGACCCCUAUUGAUAUUCAGGUCAAAGGUCAAGGUCACGGUGACCCGAAAUAUUAAAAUGGUUUCCGGAUGAUAACUCAAGAACGCUUAUGCCUAGGAUCAUGAAACUUGAUAGGUAGUUUGAUCAUGACUGGCAGAUGACCUCUAUUGAUUUUGAGGUCACUAGGUCAAAGGUCAAGGUCCAAUGACCCGAAAUAGUAAAAUGGUUUCCGGAUGAUAACUCAAGAACGCUUAUGCCUAGGAUCAUGAGACUUGAUGGGUAGAUUGAUCAUGACUUGCAGAUGACCCCUAUUGAUUUUUAGGUCACUCGGUCAAAGGUCAAGGUCACGGUGACCCGAAAUAUUAAAAUGGUUACCGAAUGAUAACUCAAGAACGCUUAUGCCUAGGAUCAUGAAACUUGAUAGGUACAUUGAUCAUGACUGGCAGAUGACCCUUAUUGAUUUUCAGGUCACUAGGUCAAAGGUCAAGGUCACAGUGACCCGAAAUAGUAAAUUGGUUUCCCGAUAAUAACUCAAGAAAGCUUAUGGCUAGGAUCAUGAAACUUCAUAGGUACAUUGAUCAUGACUCGCAGAUGACCCCUAUUGAUUUUCAGGUCACUAGGUCAAAGGUCAAGGUCACAGUGACAAAAACAUAUUUACAAAAUGGCUGUCACUACAACUGAGAGCCCAUAUGGGGGGCAUGCAUGUUUUACAAACAGCCCUUGUUAUUUACUAUGUUUAUCAUGCCAUACACUAUUUCAGUGAGUCCGAAGAGCGUUUCAUGGGCCCUGAAGAUGUGGUAAUGAUGAAAUCUGCCCCGUGCCUUCCACGGGUGUUCAGAUUGACGUACUGAAGGACUGAGGAAAAUUUAGGAGUUCCAGGGUAGGGGGCCAAAAAGGUGAACAUUUUGGCCAAGAUGUUUCCUAUGUCAAUUGGUAUUUGGCCUCAUGUGAUUACAAACGGCUAGGAAUGGCAGCCAUUACUCAGGCCAGUGUUGCCUCCCACGAGGAAGAAAUAUCCUGUGUGUAGGAGAGGGGGACAGUGAUCAGGGUCUUGGCGGCUAUGAAGGAUUUUUUUCCGCUGGUGUGUCUCCGCCCAGCACAUGGAGGUGUCGAAAGCGGAGGGAAUCCUCAUCGUGAUUGGGGGUCUUGUGACGACCGUCAAUUAGGAAAAGCAACAGAGGGUCAUUGAUAGAAAUCUCCAAGAUGAGGAGACGCUCCUUGAUGUUGAGAUAAUUUUGGUUAAGUUCUGUAAUCAACUGGGCUACUGUUUUCUAAUUAUAUAAUUAUUUUGAUUCAAAUCAAGCAUAACAUUCCUUGAAUAUUUCAGGAUAUCCGGUCAUUCCUGACAUCAGACGUAGUGUCUGCAAAGUGGAAGUAUUUUAUGGACAAUCCCAGACCAAAUUGGAAGGAUGCCACCGGAAUUCUAAUGAUAUUUAUGGCAGUAGGAAACGGCACCAGGACCAGCACCCUUCAGUUUCUGAAAUCCAAUGAUGUAACACUUGCAAGGCCACUGAAUGACGGGCAAUAUUACACAUAUGCUAUUGCCAAGCAUAAGACAUCAGAUUCCUACGGUGCAGCAGUAUUGACCGUCUCUGCUCAAACAAGGACAUAUCUCUUGUCAUAUCUGCAAGCCUCGCCGUUAUAUUAUUCUAAGCUUCGCCUGAUAUAUUACAAUAGGACAGUAACCUGUUAUUCUCUAUAUAUUUAAUUAUUUAAUUAAAAAAAUCAUGGAAAACUAGGCGAGACGAACCGGAGAGAAGAAAAAGGACCGACGACAUAAGCCCACCGUUAAGAAACAACGUAACGAGCAGUACAAGCAUGACCAGCUAUCAACCUCCGGGUUGAAGAUGCCAUAUCAGCGAUUCAGGUGUCUCAACGCUCAGUAACAGGAGAUGGCCGCCUCGUACGUGAGCCUUACCCUUGCCGCCGCUGAGCUUCACACCGUGUUUGGCAUACCCAAGAAGUGCGCCGCGUUGGCCAGGUUAGACUACGAUCAACUGCCUGGGCCGUCAGGGUUAGGGUUAGACGUCGCACCUGCCCCCGCCCCCGAAUAACCCGGGCCUUCCCAGAAUGCCCUUCCCUAGGUCCUCCUAAGGGUCGUGCCCAGACCCAAGAAGCCUAAGAAUUAGAGACCAGUGGAAAUAUGGACUGAGUCAUCCUCCAGCAAAGACGACAUGUCUGACUCUGUGCAGGUACCAGUGGUCUCCAGGGUUGUCCCUGUGCCUGCGCCCGAGAAGCCUAAGAAGAAGAUACCAGUGGAAAUAUGGAGUCAUCUUCAGCAUCAUAUACGAGUAAGUGGUCGGGAACUGACCUUAGUGUCUCUACAGAUUGGAGUGAGGAUGACGUCUUCAAAGACUUUACAUUCGUCCUGUCCUCGUCCACUAAAAAGGGGCGUUUUACAUUUGUUCCUAUUCAGAUCAUCCUCCGGGUUCAAGUCAUAUCAGAGAUUCCAGAUUCUGGAAACUUAGCAUGAGGAGAUUAUGGCGUCGUAUGUGCAACUUACACCGCACUUCAACCCGCCCCUGAGCUACACACCGUGUUCGGCAUACCAAAGAAGUGCGCCGCGUCGGCCAUAUUGGACUACAACAAAAACUCUGGGUCAUCAGGGUUAGGGUAAGACGUCACACCUGCCCGCGCCCCGGAGGUACCCGGGUCUUCCCAGGAUGCCUUAAUAAGAUACCAGUGGAAAUAUGGACAGAGUCAUCCUCCAGCGAUGAAGACAUGCAGGUACCAGUGGUCUCUAGGGUGGUCCCUUCGACCCAGCCCGAGUAGCCCAAACAGAAGAAAAUACCAGUAGAAUUAUGGAUGGAGUCAUCUUCAUCAUCAGAGAUGAGUGGUGAGUGGUCAGGAACCAACCUCAGUGUCUCGACAGAUUAGUCGCAGGAUGAGCUCAUCGGACUUGUUUUCUCAGUGUUCCUUUGUCGUAGAAUCGCCCCAGACACGUUCUACUCCACCUACUAACCAUCACGCGAAAACCCACUCUGGAUCAGCAGACGAUUUAUUUCAUAAAUCAAUCUCUGGGUUAAUAGUCGCCAUCUUUCGAACUACUUUCAAAAGUACAACAAUAACAGUAGAAGACAAUUUUAAUUGCGAAAAGUUGAAAAAUUGAGUACAUGUGUCACGGUUGUUGAGUGGAAUAGUGUUAUUUUCAACUGUGUACGAAGCAUGUGAACUGGUAGUGGAAUAACCGAAUUGUUGGUGGAAAUGGAAUUGAGAAAUAUAUCUAAUAAUUCAUCAUUUUUCAUGUCAUGAUCGUGUAGAAUUAUCAUCAGCAUCAUUUCUGUGGAACAUUGCAAUAUUCAAAAUACAAGUGUUUCAUAGCUAUGGUGCUUUUGACAUAGUUCACUAACCAUCAAGACUGAAAUGAUUCAUGCACACAGGUAAAGUAAAUAAUUGAAUU